GACGAACGCUGGCGGCGUGCUUAACACAUGCAAGUCGAACGAAAAGAGGGAAAGAGCUUGCUCUUUCCGGAAUUGAGUGGCAAACGGGUGAGUAACACGUAAACAACCUGCCUUCAGGAUGGGGACAACAGACGGAAACGACUGCUAAUACCGAAUAAGUUCCAAGAGCCGCAUGGCCCAUGGAAGAAAAGGUGGCCUCUACCUGUAAGCUAUCGCCUGAAGUGGGGUUUGCGUCUGAUUAGCUGGUUGGAGGGGUAACGGCCCACCAAGGCGACGAUCAGUAGCCGGUCUGAGAGGAUGAACGGCCACACUGGAACUGAGACACGGUCCAGACUCCUACGGGAGGCAGCAGUGGGGAAUCUUCCGCAAUGGGCGAAAGCCUGACGGAGCAACGCCGCGGGAGGGAUGACGGCCUUCGGGUUGUAAAACUCUGUGAUCCGGGACGAAAAGGCAGAGUGCGAAGAACAAACUGCAUUGACGGUACCGGAAAAGCAAGCCACGGCUAACUACGUG
rnacentral:rRNA from 1 species